GUGUCAAAACUCUUACGGGAAGACAAAAGCUCCAUUGGUUCCUUCAAGCAUAGACUACUGCUUGGGAAGAGAUGGGAGUCCACUACUCAAGAAUAUAGCAAAGUCACACGAGAAGAAUAUUAUUUGUUAGAAAAAUUUAUUGAAUAUUUUAGUGCAUGGCUUCCUUGAUAGCUUCCAUUCUACAAAAAUAUAUUUAGUGAUUGAAUGUGAUGGUGUUAGCUUAUGUGUUCUUUGUAAUGUAAUAAUUCAGUUUGUAAACUUUGUAUUACGAAUAAAAGCAAAUAAUGUGAUACGUAUUAGCAUCGUCUUUCAUUCAUCUACUAAAAAUACAGGUUUUAAGAUUAAAUUUAUGAAUUGGAUAAUGCUUGUGUCCCUUCCGUGAUUAACGAACAUUUACCAUCCGAACAUCAUAAUCAGAACCGUUCAUUCUCUUUAUAUGCAAAAAAUUAUUCAAUUUGGAGAUCUUAAUUUUAGCCAUUCAUAUAUGUUGAUGCACAAAACCGGAGGGGUCUUGGAACAACGUAAAUCCGACCGUGAAUCUGCAACAAAGUAAAGAACACAAGAUGUAUCGUGGUUCACGCCAAUGUUUGGGCUACGUCCACACUGAUGUUGAUAUUGUUUCACUCUGAAUGAUGAAUAUACAAGGAGGCUAGAGGCAGUGUGCUCUCUAGCCUAUUUUCUGUGUGCUCUCUUCCCAUGGCCUAAGACUUGGCCUCCUUUAAUGAGGAGGGUGAGGAGUCAUUUUAUAGAAUAAGGGCUCCUCACUUAUUACAUAUUUGCCCCUUCAUUUAUUACAUAAUUACAUUUGAGUUCCCCGAGUAUUUAUACGAGAUCUAAAUACGGAGGCCCUAAGUAUGGUACAAACAAUUUGCAUAAAACAAAUGGACGGUUCAUCAUGAGAAUGCUACUUGUUAUCAAAACCGUUAAUUGGUUUAACACGUAUGGAUGACUAAACGAUCUUUAAAUUGAAGGAUUUUUUGUAGAUAUGAUAUUUAGAUGAUGAUAAAGAGUAUAAACGGUUCUAAAUAUGAUGUUUUGAUGGUAAAUGUUUGUUAAUUGUAAGUGGGGGACAAGUAAGUCUCACCACAAGGAACAAAAGCAUUAUCCUUAUGAAUUUUCUCUUAAUCUCACAAAAUUACAACAAAGGUUUGGUGAUGGUAAACUCGUACGUAGUACUUUAUUUUCUCCACAUUGGCGAAAUUUAUAGAAGAACCAAAGUACAAUAUAAAUAUAAUUAGGAAACAAAUCUAAACAAUAACCUAGAAUACAAGUAAGAUCAGUACUAAGAAAUCAAUCAAAACCAGUUUAACCCACAAGAACAAGAAAAUCGAGACCUUAAAAGACUCAAAGACUCAAAGGUUUUGUAUGAAAUACCCUGGGUUGAUUCUCCUUCGGUAUAGUAAUUAUAACCUGAUGUUGUCUCAAUUAUUUAAAUUUGUGCUCACUUUAAAUCAUCUAUUCUGAUCACUCGUUAUUUUACUAACAAAAGUGUCCAUAUUUUAAAACCCGGACCCGUUUGAGUGGGUCUGACUUAGCUUUUGAGUUGGAUGGAUGGUAAUGUUUAAACUUUAAGGUGUUUGUGAGGGGGUUUUGGUGGAGGUAAUGGAAGAGGAGGUGGGUGAUCGUACCGUCCAGCGCAGGCUUUAGGGGGCCUCAACGCACGCGCAUGGCCUAAGAAAUUUUACAUAAACAAAUAAGAUGAUGUGGUGCCUGUUUCUUUAGGGUAAAUAAUCAUGCACGUACUGUCUGUUUACUCCUUUUUUUAUGUCUUUGAGUAUUUGAUCAUUCCUUAAGGGUGCAUUUGGUACGCGGGACGGGACUUGACGGAACGGGACGAGGCGUUCCGUUCCGCGUUUGGUGCGCCAAAAAUAGGUGGAACGGGCUGUUCCACGGGACAGAUUUUGGGUGUUUUUGCGUUCCACCUCCCCCCUUGGAACGGGUUUGUUCCACGUAUGUGAAACACAAUAUUUUACCAUUUUAAGACAAAUAUACCUCAUGUCUUUUUCAAAAAUUACACAUUCGUUCCGUCCCGUCCCGUCUGCGUACCAAACGCACCCCGUUCCGUCCCGUCCCGUCCCGUCUGCGUACCAAACGCACCCUAAAAGUUUUGGUUAACCAACUCACUCCACUAUUAGCUUCACCUUACAUCGGUCCAAAUCUGCAGGGCCCAGCCUGUGAUAACGUCAUUUUUUUUUACAUCUUUUCACACACUACUUUCCACAAAUUUUCUUUAAAAAUAAAUAAACUUAAUGGUUAUUUAAAUAUAGACUCGUACAACUUUUAUUUUCUAGAUAAAAACUUAUCUAGUUAUGAACAUCCAAAUAAAAUCCAAAUUUAAAAAUGACUGCCAAGUAUAGAAGUAAUUAACCUAUUAUUACAAAAUAUUUACAAUUUGUACCACAAUAUUCAAAAUAAAAUCAAUAAAUGUUAUUACUCACCUUAAUAAAAAUAUAAUUAUUGUACAUAUUAUUACCCCUAACACACAUAUAUAUGUUCAAAUGUAUAUAUGACUACCAUAAGCUCAAUAUAUAUAUAUAUAUAUAUAUAUAUAUAUAUAUAUAUAUAUAUAUAUAUAUAUAUAUAUAUAUAUAUAUAUAUAUAUACGUGUGUGUGUGUGUACAUAUAUAGUCGGGGUGUGCUAUCCACACACCCCUUUUUACUUCUCACACACCCUUUUUCAAUUUUUGUCCAUUGAUCUUCUUCACUUCAUUCGAUCCAACAACCGAAAAUUAAAAAGGUGUGUGAGAAGUAAAAGGGGUGUGUGGAUAUCACACCCCUAUAUAGUUUACCUAUAUAUUUACACGUAUAGAGUUUACCUAUAUGAACGUAUAGUAGUACUAUAUAUAUAGUUUACCUAUAUAUAAUACUACUAUACGCUCGCAUAUUGUUGACCCUAAAAACUACCAAGGCUACGUGGCGCGCAUGCCAAGUAACUAAUGAGCUAACUAUGUCAUUCGGUUGUGUGCAGGGCGUGCUAACUCAACGGCCGAGCUCGGCCGGGGAGUAAAAUUUGUUGAUGUUGCGUUGAGCGCGCUGUUGACUUCUUGAUCUUGCGACUGCGGCCGAGGAAGGAACAAGUCUCGGCCUUCGGGUUCUAGAGCCUGAAGACAAGGCUGUUAGUCUUGCGAAGUUCACAGAUCGUCGGUGCCAGGUUCGGUUAUGGUGAUUAUAUUCAUAAGAGUAUAAGCAUGCCGAACUGGCUCCAAACUAUACGGACACAAAUACUCAAAAGAGAUGUAUGUCUUGAUAGUAAAUGUCGUUCGACCGUUAGAAUGUUGAACUCUAAAACUUACUUGUGAAUAUCCAAUCAUAAAAAACUCGGCUUCAAUGUGCCGAGCCUAAAAAUCUGUAACACCUCACUUCGCCGAGAAGGCUAAUGAGAUGACGUCUGCAAAAAAAAAAUUGAAAAUCCUUCUUGGCUGAGACUUGGAUAGGUAACCAGUCGGCCUCGACGCAGUGCUGUUUAUCCAAACUGAAGGUGCUCCGCGGUCGGCUGAUUCUACGACAACAAUGCUGUUUAUCCAAACUAAAAAUGUGUUGGCGAAAGAGAAAACAAAAAUCUCAAGGUUGUUGAGAGGUUUUGCGUAGAGCGAAAGUUUGUGCAAGGCAGUUUGUGUGUUGAGUUGGGGAACUUUGAAUGAUGCACCCCCUUUUUAUUUAUAGCACCCAAUCUCAUCAUGGCCAAACCAAAACUAUACUCGGAUUAGGAUUCUUUAUCCUAAUCCAACCAAGUCUCGGCCAAUGUCUGAAAUGCCGAUAAUAUCGGUAAUAUUUCGCCGAUAUUAUCGGUUUUUCACGUUACCGAUAUUUUAAUAGGUAUCCAACGGGUUUUCGUCAAAAUAUCACGAUAUUAUCAAUAAUAUCGCGAUAUUAGCGAUAAUAUCGCCGAAGCUCCGUCGUCGCAACGGCAGCCGAGGCUCCGUCGUCGCAACGGCAGCCGAGGCUCCGUCGUCACAGCUGUCAAGAUCUGCGCCCCUCUCUACAAUCCACGCUCAGACCCAUCAAAAUGAGCAAUCCCUUUUCUCCGGAGGUAGCCGGAAUAUGGGUUGGGUAUCCUUGGGGUCAUAGGGGUUCUUCUGCGCGUCGCCGUGCUUCCCAGAGACGGAUGAGAGGGAGGGAGAGUUUAGGAGGGUGGUGGAGAUGCUACGCUGGCAUCGGGGUGGACGAAUUUGGGUGUGCCUGGGUGUGGGUGCGAUCAGGGAAAUGGAGUCCUCUGUGCGUCGCCAUGCUUCCCAGAGACGGAGGAGAGGGAUGGAGAGUUCAGGAGGGUGGUGGAGAUGCUGUGCUGGCAUCGGGGUGGACGAAUUUGGGUGUGCCUGAGUGUGGGUGCGAUCGGGGAAAUGGAGUGAGAGAACGAGAGUUCGAGAGAGAGAUAGAGUUAAGAACUGAGAGAGAGUGAGGAGUCCGAGAGAGACUCGGGAAAAGAGAGAGAAAGAUAGGGCGAGGGUUAGUGGGCUGCCACGUGGCAGCGUGAUGGAGAGUGAGAAUCAAGAUGGAGGGUCCAGAUUAGAUUAGGAUAAAUGACUCAAUUGCACAAUUUAUAUAAUUUCAGGGAAAGAGUGAAAAUAUAAAUUAAUCUGGGGGUCUAGAUUAGAUUAGGAUAAAUGACUCAAUUUCAGGGAAAGAGUGAAAAUAUAUAAUUUCAGGGAAAUAGUGAAAAAUUUGAACCUCAAAGAGUGAAAAAUUUGCCAACUCGCUAUAUAAUCAACUUAAAUCAGUUAAAUCCAUCAUGCAAUGCAUUUCCUUCCAAUUUUUUGUGAUAAACUAAUAGAUAAUUGACUAAAUAAACAUCUUACAAAGUUUCAAUAAAAAUUUCCAAGUUUUUCUUACAAUUUCCGUGGUUUCUAUAUUAUUUUUAUCGAUAUCGAUAAUAUCCUGAUAUUUCCAUCGAUAUUUCCAUGUUUUUGGAUUACCGAUAUUUCCGAUAUCAUCGAUAUUUAAUACCUUGGUGUGAACCAAUGCAAAAAUAACCAAGUAGAUAAUGCGUACAAUUUGGCCCUUCAAUUAAUUUUUGAAAAAAAAUAUUGUGUGUGUGUGUGUGUGUGAACCAAUGCAAAAAUAACCAAGCAGAUCAUGCGUACAAUUUGGCCCUUCAAUUAAUUUUUGAAAAAAAAUAUUGUAUGUUAACCACCAUGAUUAUGUGCCCUGUCAGAUGUGAUGUUACAAAUUGAUUACUAAAAUGCGUCUAGGUUUAGGGUUGUAUGUCCUAUAAAUAUGGAUGAAAUUAAUAAAUUGAUAAUAUAUCGGCAUGUCACCUGUUAUAAUGGUCAGGCAUGAGCUUCAAGAAGUUCACCUCUUUGUCACUGGUCUUUCUUGCAUCGGCCAGCUUCCACUCAAGCCAAGCUCAAGGAGCUGGGGGCAACCUAUGCGCCGGAGCUGACGACGCAGCCCUCUGCCGCUCGGUUGUGGUAAGAGCGAAAACCCCAUAUGCCGCCAUGGAAAAAAUCGUCAACCGACUGAUUUGUGAGGCAAAGCAAGCAAAAACUUCUGCUGCUAGGCCUCCCCCCGAGGACUCUCCAAUUUUCAAAGAAACCUUGAAAACUAUUUGUGUUUCCUCUCUUUGUCUCGUAGUGGGAUCUGCUUCGAUA
rnacentral:lncRNA from 1 species